GGCAAAACCUCAACGCUGCUCCUUCUCGAUUUCAGCAGACAAAAUCUGGGAUAGCGCUGCUGUACAAUGAGGAGAGCGACAAUACGUACGAUGUCUGCCUGAAGCUCACCAAAGAGCUUUUAACCAUCCAGAAGCUGGAUGUGGUUUGCACACGAGGAAGCGAGUCCCACGUAAAUCACAGAACUGUUGUACUGCGGAGACAGGCGGCUGGCGGUCUGGGCUUAAGCAUCAAAGGCGGGGCUGAGCACAACGUGCCUGUAGUCAUUUCAAAGAUUUUUAAAGAUCAAGUAGCUGACCAGACAGGGAAGCUGUUUGUCGGAGACGCCGUCUUACAGGUCAACGGCAUCAAUGUGGAGCACUGCACCCAUGAAGAAGUUGUGAGUAUGAAUGCAAUUAC